GUAUUUUAAAACUCUCAUAGUCAAUUUCUUUGAUAAUCCCACGGUAUCUCUCCCUCUCUCUCUUCUCUCUCUCAUGAGCAGCACUUUUGAAGUCGCCGGCCAAAUUCUUCUCUUCUCUGCUCCUCGCCGGUGACGGCAGAUCACGGGACGGAUCUUAAUUGUUCGAAACGAUCGUCAAAUUGAUCGGCGAUCAUCUCACCGGAGAGUUCUGGAAGAGUUGUUUACAUUUUCCAGCAGUUAAUUCUUUAGUUUUUGCAUUGAAGAGAGUCGUUUUUUCUUUUUGGAAUUUUGAGAAGAUCAGUUUAUAUUUAUGAAUCUUGGACUAGAUGAAAUAUAAUGAUGAUUGAUCGAGUCACAUAAAUUUGGUUGAGAGUUAGCGGAAGUGAAGAUUCCUCUACUGUAGCUUCCCGCAGUUCUCUCGGUGUGUGUGUGUGUGUGUGUUUUCUUUCUUCUUUUGGUUGUUUUGCAAAUUUUGGUGAGUGGGAGCUGAGCAUAAAAUUAGCUGAUUCAAUUGAUAAACGAAGGAAACAGAAAAGAACAAGAGAGGGGGAACAUACGAAUUGUGAGGUUGAGUAGGGAUGUCAAAGGUGGUGUACGAGGGUUGGAUGGUGCGGUAUGGGAGGAGGAAGAUAGGAAGAUCCUUUAUUCAUAUGCGGUAUUUUGUCCUCGAGCAUCGGUUGCUUGCCUAUUACAAGAAGAAACCACAGGACAAUGUGGUUCCACUCAAGACUCUCCUUAUAGAUGGAAAUUGUAGGGUGGAAGAUCGGGGCUUGAAGACUCACCAUGGACAUGUGAGUU